ensembl:lncRNA
GUGCCCUGGUCCCCCGAGUUCCCCAAGGGGCUCUCAAAGAGAGCAUUAAUUGCUUUUAUUUUACAGAAGCUGAAACAAUUAAAAAAAUUCCUUCACGGCCCCAUCCACUCCCACCCCCCAGAAUCACAAACUCCUGUCUUAGGUUCCCCAAGCCUUAACCUUAAUGCAGAAGGUUCGCAUCACUCCGGGCCAGCGGCCCUGGCAGGUCCCUCCCUGGUCGGGGGCGUGGGGGCGUGGGGGCGUGGGGAGGGGGGGGGCAGGCAUCAUGAAAGGCACUCAGGGAGUCUCUGGAGCUGUCCAGAGGCCCUCAGCGCGGGGUCACCACGGGGCGCCAAGCCCCGCAGCCUUAGGUCAAGCGGGUCUGGCGGUCAUCAACAAACAGCUGCCAACUUCAAAAGGUCCCCAAGCGGGCGAGGGUCACUCGGCGGGGAGUCGGCGGCUGCGGAGCUCCCCCGCGGUCACACACACAGGCGGACGCGCGUGCACUCAUACACACACACACAUACACGCGCGCGCAACAGACACACGCGCACAGACACACGCGCGCGCGCCCGCGGCACAGCCCGGACUUCCCAACCCCAAACACACGCGCGCACCCCCGGGCCGACUGAGUUCUCUAUUUUCUCUUCCUUACAGCGACUCAGGCGGCCGCGGCCGCCCAGCUCCGCUUGGGCUCCAGGCCCCAGGCACUCCGCCCGCCGUCUCCCUUCCCUGAAGGCGCGCCCGGUGCGUCCCCUCUCCCGAGCCGGGAUUGCCAUCGAAGACCACCCCCCUCGGCCGCGCCAGGCCGCCUUUCCCGGUCCCAGCGGGGACCGCGGCUCGUCUCCAGGUGGCGGGUACUGGCUAACGAGAGCCCCAGGCGCUCCCGGCUGCGCACACCGCCCCCUGCCGCCCCUGCGGGCCCCCAGCCCGGUAGUAGCCCAUCACUUCCCCCGCCCAGGAGCGCGCUCGCCGGGGGAUUCCCUCCCAUCGCCUAGUGCCGAGAAAACCCCGGCGUCGGCGCGGCCAGCCGCGUCUCUCUCACAGCUUCCCGGGUCUCUGACCCCCGGGGAUCCUGACUCCAAGCUCUCAGCUUCACACUCCGCGGUCCCCAACACCCCAGUGGCAGCCGCGCGGCGCGCCGGCGCCCCCUCCAGCCGACCCAGGUGGAAACAGCCCCGCGGGUUCCCGGGCCACGGCCCUGCGCUCCAUCCCCGACCACCUCUCCCCGCCGCCCGCCCUGCCCAGACUUCGCCAACUGCAGGGCGCCCCGACGCGCCCGCAGCCCUCACCCGGCCAAGCGCCGCGGCCACCCCCGCGCCAGCCGCGGCGCCCCCAGGGAGGGAACAAAAGUGUCUCCGCGGCGUCCGGAGUCCCCCGGAGCGGGACGCCUCCCCCGGAGCCCGAGCCCCAGCCCCCUCCCCGGCCGCGCUGAGGUCAACGAGUCAGGGCGCGGCGCCAGCCCAGGAAACUUUACGAACCUGCCCGGGGUCGCAGGACAGCGGCGGCGGCGGCGGCGGCGAGGGCUCCAGAUACCAGAGCUCUAGCGACCCGCGACUACGGAGCGCGGUCCGGGGGUCUGUCGCUCAGCUCCGGGCCGCGGCGGGGUGUGUGGCUCGGGCUCUACCCCGUGCCCAUCCUCGCCCGCUCCUGCUCGCCGAGAACACGCACUUACACUCUGGGUCGGCCGGCUGCUGCGCCGCCGGCUGCUGCUGCUCUCACUUCCUCUUCCUUCCUCCUGCUGGCCAGAGACACAUUUUGCAUCUGCAAGGCAUCCCGAGAGCAGCCGCGAACUCUCCUGCCGAGCGGACGCUGCGGAGUUGCCGCCGCCCCCGGCACCUGCGCCCGGACACGCGUGGUUGGCGCGUUCGCCUCCCGCCCGCGCGCGGGGCCUGCCCACCGCACUUGGCCUCGGAGGCGGGCGUGGGGUGGGGGUGCCCACGACUUUUUGAAGUCCCCCUCCUUAAAGAGAGGGAAAUAUCAAACACCGUGCAUGCCUCAGAUCUGCUAUAA